GACGAACGCUGGCGGCGUGCUUAACACAUGCAAGUCGAACGGAGUGGCGAACGGGUGAGUAACACGUGGGUGACCUGCCCUGCACUUCGGGAUAAUCAUGGGAAACUGGGUCUAAUACCGGAUAGUGUGGGAUGGGCCCGCGGCCUAUCAGCUUGUUGGUGGGGUAAUGGCCUACCAAGGCGGCGACGGGUAGCCGGGAUGGGAGGGUGGACGGCCACAUUGGGACUGAGACACGGACCAGACUCCGACGUGAGGCAGCAGGGGGGAAUAUUGCACAAUGGGGGGAAGUGUGAUGCAGCGCCGCCGCGUGGGGGAUGAAGGUCUUCGGGUUGUAAACUCCUUUCACCAUCGACGCGGUAGAUGGAGAAGAAGCACCGGCUAACUACGUGCCAGCAGCCGCGGUAAUAC
rnacentral:rRNA from 1 species